AAAUAAAAUAUGGCGGAAAACGAAGGCGAAAGUUCUUUUGAAAGUGCGAGAUUUUGUUGUAUGUGUGGCACAGAGCACAAAAGCAAUGCCAAAUUUUGUACACAGUAUGGAAUAGGAAGCUCGCGGCGUGUGAUUGAAGAGGAAAUGAUUGACUUCUUUCAAGAUGUGCGAAUGAGUAUGGAAGACCAGAAUGUAACAGGCUAUGUAGAAGAUCUGACAUGGAGUGAUGAAGAUAGUCUUGGUAACAUGCAAGACAACAUGGAAAGGAUGACUUCCCGUCUGCACAUCUAACACCAUCAGGAGUUUUGGGGUGGCUCACCGGACAAAAACAUGCACCUAUUAAUGGAGAAAAGUUAAGAAUCGGAGUUCAUUUUGAUCAUGGUUGUAUGUCACGUAAUACCAUGCAUAAAAUCUGUUUCUCAAUCAUGUAGGAUCAUGUGGCAGAGACAUUACAUUACCAGUUGAGCAUAUGAAAACAAGUGAAGAUUUCAAGCACGUUUUCAUGAUUGCCUACUGUAAGGGUCAGAGUUUUGGGAAAAGAUGAAACUUGUCAUUCUAAAUCAGUAACACCUUAUCAGUAAUUGAUUAUUAUGGAAUGGUUACUUUUUUGUUUGAUUCACCCCAACGACACCUUUUGAUUUUACUUCUUUCAAAAUUAUGUACUUACUAAACGCUUGUUAGUGAGGAAACAUUUACUAUACACUUUGUUAAUUUUUAUGUUAGCAGAUAAAUGUGAUUGCUACCUACAGAAGAUACUACCUACAUUUUUUGUAUAAACAAAA